GACGAACGCUGGCGGCGUGCUUAACACAUGCAAGUCGAACGGAAAGGCCCUGCUUCUGUGGGGUGCUCGAGUGGCGAACGGGUGAGUAACACGUGAGUAACCUGCCCUUGACUUUGGGAUAACUUCAGGAAACAAGGGCUAAUACCGGAUAGGAGCUCCUGCUGCAUGGUGGGGGGUGGAAAGUUUCGGCGGGUGGGGAUGGACUCGCGGCUUAUCAGCUUGUUGGUGGGGUAGUGGCUUACCAAGGCUUUGACGGGUAGCCGGCCUGAGAGGGUGACCGGCCACAUUGGGACUGAGAUACGGCCCAGACUCCUACGGUAGGCAGCGGUGGGGAAUCUUGCACAAUGGGCGGAAGCCUGAUGCAGCAACGCCGCGUGCGGGAUGACGGCCUUCGGGUUGUAAACCGCUUUCGCCUGUGACGAAGCGUGAGUGACGGUAAUGGGUAAAGAAGCACCGGCUAACUACGUG
rnacentral:rRNA from 1 species